rnacentral:lncRNA from 1 species
GGAAUUGAAAUAAAAUCGGCAGUUAUCUGUAUUUUUUGUGGUAUGUUGGGAUGUGGUGGAGUUACUUAUUAUAUUGGUGUAAAUGAUGGCAGAUGGAGCAAAGGUUUCAAAGUUGUUAGAUGGUUCUUCUGAGUUUUCUCUUACUUAUGAAGACAAGGAUGGGGACUGGAUGCUGGUUGGAGAUGUGCCUCGAACUGUAUGCCUUCUUCACAGUACAGACUGAUAUUGAUACCUGUCUAUCGGUAUACCUAAACGCAAGAAAUCAUUCAUGGAUGACUACUUUGGUCAGGGAACCUAUUUCUCCUGGAGAACGAUAUCAUGGUGUUUCGAUCAUCAUUAGAAUACAUUUAUUAACAUAGAUCAAUUGUACUCUGGUUAUAGUGCAUGCAUUCAAUUUUGUUGCAAUCUUAUGGUUUUUCUGGUGAUCUUGUCCUUAGUUUUUUCUCAUUGUCAAAGACUUGUUCUGUUUUGUAGUUUGCUGAUUCAGUCUAACUUACAGAAUGGUUUUGGAAACAGUGAAGAGACUUAGAAUUAUGAGGAAGCAAAUGGGCUGUCAGUCUGUUCAUUUUG